AUUUACUCCAUUUUUCAGAACUCCUUGAUAAAUAUUCCCUGUUAUAUCUUCUCUUGUCAUACACAAUGUGACUGACAAAAGAAAAUGAACAAUCUAUUUGUAGCUUGUGUGAGACAGAUUGUCUUUAAAGGGAACUUCUAGUCCUAAAAAUUAUAAUAGUUAUUUUGGGACUAUAGGUUCCCUUCUGUCCACACCCUAUUGUCCACCCCCUUCGGCAUUAAAAAAAUAAAGUUAACUAAUGAUUACAUGCCCUGUUACCAGCUCUGGGAUUCCUCCACUGUAGCCUCCGGUCACACCUCUAGUGAUGUCAGCAUCCAAGCUGACAUCACUGGCGAUCUCCUCCAAUCCAUUUCUUAUCAUAGAGAAGCAAUGAAUUGGUACUAGGCAUGUGUGGCCAAGCUUGUGAUUACUUGGCCUGGAGGUGGAAUUAACCUUGCAAUGUUUCUACAAAGUCGCAGUGUUUUACAUUGCAGGGAUAAAAUGACAGGGCCUCUGCUUUUAGAUCACUGCAUGGAGACAAAGUGAACAUGGGAUGGUGAGGCUGGUAAUUUGGGUGAUUAGAAAUACUUGUACUACUGUCUAGCAUGGCCUCCAGCUAUGCAACAUGCUGCCUGACACGGACACAGACACCGACCAUCUCUGGAAGAGAGAAGGACAUUAUUGCAACCAAUUUGGUUCCAGUUGAUGAUAUUUUGUGGCUUCUCAGAGCUCCAUUCAUGGCAGCUAUUAUUACCAUUAGAUGGCUUUCUAGUUCCACAGAGUCCUUCGGAUAUCAGCAUGUGUGGUGGGUUAUUGUGGGUAAAUUGGAUAGAAGUACCGAGUAGCAGAUUAAUAUAAUUCCUUUCCAACAGGAAAGGUGGCGCAUGUUUUUAUUUUAUAAAUAGAUGGAUGUAUUUAUACAUGGUGUAUUGCUGUUAGACAUUACCAAUAGUACACACAGAGCGGAUAUUAGAUUAGAUGUAAUGAUAUGUUUAUAGAAUAUAAAAUGAUCCCAGUUUUACUGAUAGAUUAUUUCGUGGCACUCUGUUUAGCCUCUCUAAUAACCAGCUUUAAGCAGAACGAUAAACCAAUAGCCUUGUUGGAUCGGUUGAGAGAUCCUCAUUUUCUUUAAGAUUAUUAUAGAUCCUUAGCUAUUUAACAUUAUUAUAGGAGACAUAGUUACUAAGUAAAUGUAUUUUACUCUAAAAGCAGUAGUUUGGGGAUAGUUUUAUAUUUAAUAGCUUACUGUAAACACAAUAACUUUCCAUUAUUGCACAUUUUGUAGUGCAGAGAGUACCAUACACCCACUCUCAGGUGUUAGAAUGCUUUCUAACUGUAUCUGUAAGAUAGCCCCCAGAGCUGACAGUCAGAUUCUAAGCUACCUGUGUCAGUUUUAUCCAAGUUAUCCAUGUGGCUCUGCUUAUCACUACACUCGGCCGAAUUCAUAAAACUGUGAACUGACGUUCGUAUGUACCGACAGCAAGUCCAACAUGGCUGCUCUCACUUUAAAAAGCACAUCCACUCAUCCUUUGCAAUGAGUUGAACUACCUUUGAGGAACAAACUACAUCUCCCAUAAACCUCUGCUGGACAGUGGUUCACAGGACAAAAUCAGGCUCCAUAGACCGGAAUGAUAUUCUCGAGAUUCGUGGAACCAUUUCCUGUUGCAUGAAGGGUCGCCCUGAAGCUACAAUCUGCUUCUCUAAGCCGUAGAGAUUCAGGAUCUUUAUUUGAAUCUUUUUUUUCAUUCAGACAAUUUAUAUAUAAUGCAUUAGUAAAUAGUGGGUUGUUUUUACUCAUGUUUCCCUUCACAUUGUCAGAUUUAAGAGAAUAGAGAAUUAUGUGCAUCCAAUACAUGCUGCUUUCCACUUCUUAAAACAAACUUUGUCUUUUGUAACAAGCAACAAUGUGUUGUUUUUUUCUUAAGUUAGAAGUAACUUUUUUGAAGAAGUUAGUAACUACUCUUUAUAAGCCUUUAGUGUAUUACUAAACAUAGAAAAUGUAUACAUAAAUCCCGACACUUUAAAGGAAACUUGCAUUUUAACUAGUAACUGUAACUCUGCCGUAUAACCCAGGACGUAAAGUGCAUAGAGGUGCUGGAUUUAGGUGGG